rnacentral:rRNA from 1 species
UACGAAGGGGGCUAGCGUUGCUCGGAAUCACUGGGCGUAAAGGGUGCGUAGGCGGGGCUUUAAGUCAGGGGUGAAAUCCUGGAGCUCAACUCCAGAACUGCCUUUGAUACUGAGGAUCUUGAGGUCGGGAGAGGUGAGUGGAACUGCGAGUGUAGAGGUGAAAUUCGUAGAUAUUCGCAAGAACACCAGUGGCGAAGGCGGCUCACUGGCCCGAUACUGACGCUGAGGCACGAAAGCGUGGGGAGCAAACAGG